rnacentral:lncRNA from 1 species
CGCAUCAAUUGCGAGAAUAGGGAAUGAAGUAUUGACACAUACGAAAUCGUGAACAAGCAUACGUCUGUUUUAAGUUCAUAUGGAAUUUCAAAAACAGAUGAGGUACUGGAUCUUCCAUCCCUCUAAACAUGCUUAAUUUAAUAAGUGUGCUUUCAAACACUGUUAUAUCGCGUGGUCUGCAAAUGUUAUCAACAACAUAUUUUUUCCGCAAUAGAACUCCGGGCUGUAGAAUAAUUGAUUAGUUCAAAACCAAGGAACAAAGGGAACUAGACGUUGAUACUAAACAUAAUCCAAAGAUCUUUUAGAGUACAUAAAAUUGAGAAUGGAAAUGGGGAUUAUGUCAAAGAGACAACAAUC